GACGAACGCUGGCGGCGUGCUUAACACAUGCAAGUCGAACGGAAAGGCCCUGCUUUUGUGGGGUGCUCGAGUGGCGAACGGGUGAGUAACACGUGAGUAACCUGCCCUUGACUUUGGGAUAACUUCAGGAAACUGGGGCUAAUACCGGAUAGGAGCUCCUGCUGCAUGGUGGGGGUUGGAAAGUUUCGGCGGUUGGGGAUGGACUCGCGGCUUAUCAGCUUGUUGGUGGGGUAGUGGCUUACCAAGGCUUUGACGGGUAGCCGGCCUGAGAGGGUGACCGGCCACAUGGGGAAUGAGAUACGGCCGAGACUCAUACGGGAGGCAGCAGGGGGGAAUAUUGCACAAUGGGCGGAAGCCUGAUGCAGCAACGCCGCGUGCGGGAUGACGGCCUUCGGGUUGUAAACCGCUUUCGCCUGUGACGAAGCGUGAGUGACGGUAAUGGGUAAAGAAGCACCGGCUAACUACG
rnacentral:rRNA from 1 species